CGAGAGGCCGUAGCAAUACGGUCGUACAGUGGCGAACGGGUGAGGAAGACGUGGGUAACCUACCCUCGAGUGGGGAAUAACCCGCCGAAAGGCGGGCUAAUACCGCGUACGCUUCUGUUCCUUCGGGGACGGAAGGAAAGCUGUGCCGUGGGCAUGGCGCUCAAGGAUGGGCUCACGCCCUAUCAGCUUGUUGGUAGGGUAACGGCCUACCAAGGCAACGACGGGUAGCUGGUCUGAGAGGACGAUCAGCCACACUGGCACUGCGACACGGGCCAGACUCCUACGGGAGGCAGCAGUGAGGAAUAUUGCGCAAUGGGCGAAAGCCUGACGCAGCGACGCCGCGUGGGGGAUGAAGGUCUUCGGAUUGUAAACCCCUUUCAGGAGGGAAGAUGGAACGGGCAACCGUUCGGACGGUACCUCCAGAAGCAGCCACGGCUAACUUCGUGCCAGCAGCCGCGGUAAUGCGAAGGUGGCAAGCGUUGUUCGGAUUUACUGGGCGUAAAGGGAGCGUAGGCGGUUGGGUAAGCCCUUUGGGAAAGCUCCCGGCUUAACCGGGAAAGGUCG
rnacentral:rRNA from 1 species